UUAGUUUUUUCUUCUAGCAGCUGAAAAGCUGUUUUGUAAAUUUCCAAUUGACUAUAUUUACAAUGUAUGGAUCUCUGCAAAGGUGCGACAAAAGAAAACUGCAUUGGAUGUCUGGAAAUUAAUUCAUCCUCAACGGACUAUUGAACCCAACAAUUACAUGGUCAGAAGAAAACAUCACAAAGCAAUCUAUGGACGUUAUUGAGAGGUGUGUGUUGCUGUUGUUUCAUC